rnacentral:sRNA from 1 species
ACCCCACAUCCCCAGGUCCCCACCCUGCAGUGCUUGCACAGGCCUCUCCUCCAGCAAGAGAGGGGCACAGGCGGGGCUGGGUGGGGCGUGGGCUGGCAAGGAAGUGAACCCUCCACCUUGGUCGGGGUCCUGGCCUGGGCUUAGGGCCUGCCAGCUUAUAGAGGCCUUGAUCCUUUCUGGAAGCCCUGUACUGUCCAGGAGGAUGUUCCCCAGCUACAAGGUAAAAGUCACAGGCAUGAACCCCAAGACCAAGUACAUCCUGCUGAUUGACAUUGUCCCUGCCGAUGACCAUCGCUACAAGUUCUGUGACAACAAAUGGAUGGUGGCAGGGAAGGCUGAGCCGGCCAUGCCAGGAAGGCUGUAUGUCCACCCGGAUUCUCCUGCCACAGGGGCCCACUGGAUGCGGCAGCUGGUCUCCUUCCAGAAGCUGAAGCUGACAAAUAACCACCUGGACCCCUUUGGCCAUAUCAUCCUCAACUCUAUGCACAAGUACCAGCCGCGGCUCCACAUCGUUAAGGCUGAUGAGAACAAUGCUUUCGGCUCCAAAAACACUGCUUUCUGCACCCACGUGUUCCCAGAGACCUCCUUCAUCUCUGUGACCUCCUACCAGAAUCACAAGGUACAGCCAC